GUCGCGUUGUGCCGGCGAAAUGCACACUUCUUGGACCCCUGCAUAACUGCUUGCAGUUCUAGUUAGGGGUCCAAGCCAACAGGUUGGAUCCCUAUUGUUUUUGUAAGGAUUAUUAUUAUUUCGUACGCCUUAGAAGUGGUACCACAGCCCAAACCGUAAAUGGUGCACACGCGCCAAUUGCAUGACUAGAUCCAGAAUCGGCACCGCUACUCAGAUAACAAAAUCCAGACACGCCGGUCCCUAGGUGGCGCUAUACCAAGGAAUACGCGUUUGGGGCUAUAACUCCCACACCGAACCUCCCACAGUCAAAAACUUGUACCCACAUAUUCACUGGAGUCUGCUGCAUCUUUUGGCAUAGGCCACGCCCAUUUGCGUCUAUAAUUUUUUUUCGCAAAAUCGCGAAAACCGCAAAACUGUAUUUUCGCUACUCCUCCCACAUUUCUUGACCAAUCGACACCAAACUUUGCACACGACAUCUUCAGACGCACAC
ensembl:lncRNA